CAAUUCUCCUACCAAGGAGCUCCAGGGCGUAGUUGUGACAAUUAACAUGGCAGAAAUGGAGCCAGGGAAGGGAGGGACUUCAGCAAAAACAUCUGCUGGGAAAAUUAAGGGACAGAACUGCUGCCACCACUGUGACUCACAAAAGGAAGUAAUGGAGGGGGUACAGGAGAGGGAAAAGGGACCAGAAUUCCAGUGA
rnacentral:lncRNA from 1 species